UCUUACAGAUGGACACAGGAAGUGGUUUCUUAAGAUUGAAUCUACUCCUGGUGAAGAUGUUGUGAA
rnacentral:pre_miRNA from 1 species